AGUGAACGCUGGCGGUAGGCCUAACACAUGCAAGUCGAACGGCAGCACAGUAAGAGCUUGCUCUUACGGGUGGCGAGUGGCGGACGGGUGAGGAAUACAUCGGAAUCUACUUUUUCGUGGGGGAUAACGUAGGGAAACUUACGCUAAUACCGCAUACGACCUACGGGUGAAAGCAGGGGAUCUUCGGACCUUGCGCGAUUGAAUGAGCCGAUGUCGGAUUAGCUAGUUGGCGGGGUAAAGGCCCACCAAGGCGACGAUCCGUAGCUGGUCUGAGAGGAUGAACGGCCUGACUGGAACUGUGACACGGUCCAUACUCUUACGUGAGGCAGCAGUGGGGAAUCUUGGACAUUGGGCGCAAGCCUGAUCCAGCCAUACCGCGUGGGUGAAGAAGGCCUUCGGGUUGUAAAGCCCUUUUGUUGGGAAAGAAAAGCAUCAGGUUAAUACCCCGCUGUUCUGACGGUACCCAAAGAAUAAGCACCGGCUAACUUCGUG
rnacentral:rRNA from 1 species